ACGGGAGGCAGCAGUGAGGAAUAUUGGUCAAUGGACGGAAGUCUGAACCAGCCAAGUAGCGUGAGGGAUGACUGCCCUAUGGGUUGUAAACCUCUUUUGUCGGGGAAUAAAGUGUGCCAUGUAUGGUAUUUUGCAUGUACCCGUCGAAUAAGGAUCGGCUAACUCCGUGCCAGCAGCCGCGGUAAUACGGAGGAUCCGAGCGUUAUCCGGAUUUAUUGGGUUUAAAGGGUGCGCAGGCGGCACGUUAAGUCAGCGGUGAAAUGUCGGGGCUCAACCCGGGCACUGCCGUUGAAACUGGCGAGCUUGAGUACGGAUGAAGUCGGCGGAAUGUGAUGUGUAGCGGUGAAAUGCUUAGAUAUGUCACAGAACACCGAUUGCGAAGGCAGCUGACUAAUCCGCAACUGACGCUCAGGCACGAAAGCGUGGGGAUCGAACAGGAUUAGAUACCCUGGUA
rnacentral:rRNA from 1 species